AACGCACCUUGCGCUGUUGGGUUAUUCCUGGCAGCAUGCUUGUUUGAGUGUCGCGUACCUCUCAACCCCGCCCCUUUCCUCGGAUUGGGGUAGUAGGGCUUGGAUCAUGAUGCGUGCGGUUAGUUCCGCUACAUUGAAAUACAACAAGCUGGAUCCUUAUCUUGCGGCUUGACCUGUUGUUGUAACUUGAAAAUCAAUGGGAACGCAAUUUUAGAGGAAGGGGCUUACCAGAAACGUCUGCAAAGACACAAGUGCAUUUUGACCUCAAAUCAAGUAGGACUACCCGCUGAACUUAA
rnacentral:misc_RNA from 1 species